GAUCAUGGCUCAGGACGAACGCUGGCGGCGUGCCUAAUACAUGCAAGUAGAACGCUGAAGGAGGAGCUUGCUUCUCUGGAUGAGUUGCGAACGGGUGAGUAACGCGUAGGUAACCUGCCUGGUAGCGGGGGAUAACAGUUGGAAACGGCUGCUAAUACCGCAUAAGCGCACAGUACCGCAUGGUACAGUGUGAAAAACUCCGGUGGUAUGAGAUGGACCCGCGUCUGAUUAG
rnacentral:rRNA from 1 species